CACAGCUUGAGCCUGGGCUGCCUACAGCUCCCCUCCCCCCAAGUCACAACCCCCAGCAUCCCCUCCCCCUGGAGCUGCUCUCGGUAGGGCAACAAGCCCUCAGGCUGCUGCCUUGAGCUCCCUCCUCCUCCCCUCCAGCAGCAGCCGCCAUACUGCGGGGCAACCCAAACUUGUUACACACUGGCACCAACUCCUCCUCUUGCUGCUGCCCCCUGUUGCAGGCGCCUCAGCAGCGGCACGCAGAACAGCGGGAGGCGGCCCUGGGAACUGGAGCGCGAGCGGAGGAGUUGCAGCCUUGCAGUUUCAUUUACUACUAAGACAAAACGGAAGAAUGUUCUCAAGAGGCAGAAUAGUUGCUGAGAAACACUGUGGAAAGUGUGAACAAUCUCUGUAUUCUGCGACCUGGCAAAUGUGUAUUACCUUGGAGAAGUAAUCUAUUGGAUGCAUAGGCUUGGGAACAUCUUUCCAACCUGUUUAUUGCAACGUUAGUUCGGCAAUGUCUACCCUGUAACAUACUAUUUGGAACUGGAGAUUUCUUCUGCAAAAGGAACAUUAGGUUGCAGUUAUCCUCCAACUUCCAUAGAGCAAGGACUCCUAUCAUGGCUCUCUCUGGUUUGUAUGCAGCUUUGGGUUUAUUGUUUGGAGCAGCAGCAGCAUUUGGUCCAGUACCAAGAAUCACUUGGGAACAUAGAGAAGUACAACUGGUCCAUUUUCAGGAGCCAGAAGUGUUUAACUAUUCAACUUUAUUACUAAGUGAUGACAAAGACGUUUUAUAUGUAGGAGCUAGAGAAGUGAUCUUUGCAUUAAAUUCAGCAAAUAUUGCUGAAAAACAUCAUGAGUUGUAUUGGAAGGUCACUGAAGACAAAAAAACUAAAUGUGCGGACAAGGGCAAAUCCAAACAGACAGAGUGCCUUAACUAUGUGCGUGUCUUACAACCGCUGAAUGAUGAUGUCCUCUUUGUGUGUGGCACAAAUGCAUUUCAGCCAAUCUGUGAUCAUCUGAACUUAAUGUCAUUUGAACUCCGAGGUAAAAAUGAAGAUGGUAAAGGUAGAUGUCCAUUUGACCCUGCCCAAAGCUACACAUCAGUUAUGGUUGAUGGAGAGCUUUAUUCAGGAACUUCCUAUAACUUCUUGGGAAGUGAGCCUAUUAUUUCUAGAAACUCUCAUCAGAGCCCGUUGAGAACAGAAUAUGCAAUACCUUGGCUUAAUGAGCCCAGUUUUGUUUUUGCUGAUGUGAUAAGAGCAGAUCAAAACAGCACUGAAGAAGACGAUGACAAAGUGUACUUCUUUUUCACCGAGAUGUCUGUGGAAUAUGAAUUUGUUGGAAAGCUGAUGAUUCCAAGAAUAAGUAGAGUGUGCAAGAGGGACCAAGGAGGAUUAAGGACUUUGCAGAAAAAAUGGACCUCCUUUCUCAAGGCCAGAUUGAUCUGUACCACACCGGAUAAGAAUUUAAUUUUCAACAUUAUCAAUGAUGUUUUUAUUCUGAAGUCUCCAAGUUUGAAGGAACCAGUGAUUUAUGGAGUUUUUACCCCACAACUGAAUAAUAUGGGGCUGUCAGCAGUGUGUGCAUACAACUUGUCUACUGUGGAAGACGUUUUCUCCAAAGGAAAGUAUAUGCAGAGUGCCACAGUAGAACAGUCUCAUACAAAGUGGGUCCGAUACAAUGGAGAGAUUCCUAAACCUCGACCUGGAGCUUGUAUAAAGAAGGAGGCAGGAGCAGCGAACUACAUGAGUUCUCUAAAUUUACCGGACAAAACACUACAGUUUGUUAAAGAUCACCCUCUAAUGGAUGACUCGGUGACCCCGAUAGGGGACAGACCCAGAUUAAUAAAACGAGAUGUGAGGUAUACACAGAUCGUGGUAGACAGAGUCACAGCGCUCAAUGGCAGUGUGUAUGAUGUUAUGUUUAUUAGUACAGAUAAAGGAGCCCUGCACAAAGCUAUUAGCUAUGAAAAUGGAAUGCAUAUUAUUGAAGAAAUACAACUUUUCCCAAAUUUUGAGCCAGUUCAGACACUGUUGCUUUCAUCAAAAAAGGGCAAAAGGUAUCUCUAUGCAGGUUCCAAUUCUGGUGUGGUUCAGUCUCCCGUUGCAUUCUGUGACAAGUACAGCACUUGCGUUGACUGUGUUCUAGCUAGAGAUCCCUACUGUGCUUGGAAGUCACAUGAAGCCUCCUGUAUUAAUAUUCUUAAAGAAGAUGAAAUUGAAAGGGAUUGGAUUCAGAACAUAGGUGGUGAUGCUUCUUCCUGCCCUGCCUCAUCUUCUAUACCUUUCCCUCCUACUGGUACCUCCUUUUUGUCCUGUGUGGGAAGUGAUUCACCUCCUUCACCCACCAAUACCAUGCCUGAUGUUUGGUCUAGCACAGAGCUUGUAAUGGUCAUGUUGUUACCACCUUUCCUAAGUGACCAGGCACAGCAUGUUAGUGUCCAUGGAACCUUUCACCUCUUCUGUCAAGCCACUGAGAAGAAUAACAUGGCAUGGAUGAACAUAAGAACGGCCAUACUGGGUCAGACAAAAGGUCCAUCUAGCCCAGUAUCCUGAAUUCUGUGGAGAAAGAAAUGCUAUAGUUUCUAAGAAGCAGGAGAUCCAUGUAUAAUGCAGCCACAUAAACUACCACAUAACUGCACUCCAGAAUCUAUGCUUUAUUUUUAAAAAAUUAAGUUGGGAAGAAAACUGUUGAAUGUGAAUUCAGUGUAAAUGAUGUCUGUCCAAGUCUGCAAACAGCUUGAAGCAAUAGUUCUAAAAGGCAACUAUGUAGGUUUCCUUUUGUGAGACCCUUCCUGGACCCACCUAGCUGAUACCUAAACACAUACUAUUGGCACACUGGAAGCAAUAGGUCGUAAGUGGACUGACUUUUCCAGCCUUGUAGACAAGUCAGCGGUCCUCUGGUUUGCUCUCUUUGCGUUUUUUACCAUCUUCAGGUUAGAUGCUUGAUCUUAUAUUCAUAUAUGUGUAUUGUGUAGUGGUGACUGGAUAUUUUUUCCCACAAGAGACCUAUUUUUUUAGCUUGCAUGUGCAGCAUUUCACGUGCAACCUGUUUAAUCUUUUCCAUAAGGCUGACAUCAACACAUUUUCAGUGUUGCUAUUCGGUACAUUUAGCAGUAAUUUAACAAACAGUCCAGUUUUGUGCAAGCAGCAGGUUGUGUUCUUUAGAUAUGAAUUGGCUGCUAAUUGAAACAAACAGUAACUUAUGAUACAUAAUGAACCCUCUGUCCAGGAGUUGGAGAGAUCUGUUUUCCUAUGUUUCUCUUUGUAACUUUAGCUUCUAUUCAAGCUAAUCCACUUUCUCUUCUGGAAAAGUAAGGAGCUUCUACCUCCAUACAAACGUUUUCCUUGUCAUUAUCCGGAAAGCACAACAGCAGACCACACUUUAGGUCAUAUCUCUGGACUUGUUGCAAUCUGUUAAUGUCAAGAAACUUCCUCUCCGUCUGCAACUGCCCUGUUUUCUUACUUCUUGUUCACAAGGGGUUGCUGAAUCACAGCUCUUAUGUCUGCUUCAGUUUUGCCAGUUCAUUAUCAGCUAGCCUGUGACUCAAGAGUUCUUCUUCCCACCUAGCCCUUACACAGUUUCCAGAUAGAGAAUCAUUCAGCCUACCACCCAGUUUUCAUUCACCUACUGUUCAAAGUAUAGUAUUGGUAGUUGCCUUUCUAAUGGAACAGGAAUUGCUCCACCUGACGCAUGCUCUCUUCUUCUGUUCACUGCUUUGGAAGGACUAACCUUGCCUUUCACUUUUCUGACCUGUGGCUCCUGAUCAUUUUUUCUGCAACCAGAUUAUACAGUUUGCUAAAACCUAAUCCUAGUUUUGGAUGAGGGAUUCCUAAAUGGUCCUGAUGCAUUAAUUUUUUUAUUGCAUUACAAUAUGUCCAGUUCAAACCAAACCUGUAGACCAGACACCAGCUGUUACUCCAGAUGUCUCUCAUUUUUGAGAUUAAGAAAUGUCACUGUUCCUGUAUGGCUUUUCUGAACCGGCUCCAUGGCUGCCAGCCACAUGUCUUCUAUCUGUAUAUAUUUUCUGUUUUAGGACAGCAAUGUCCAUACCUGUACACCAUUCAUUAAUGACACCCUUUUCUAUUGGCUCUCUCUAUAGUGCCUUUCUUUCAUCAUUCCAACCAUCAGUACAAAGAGUCCUCCUUGUUAUCCUGCUUUAGCACACACCUGAGAUGCCAGGGUAUAUUUUCAUUAGGCUAGUACAAAAGCCCUUCUAUUCUGAGGUGAAUUCCCUUGCAGCCGGUGCUGAUUAAUCAGUAAAGUUGAUUGGCUAUCAAUUCACUGGUGACUUUUAGAGAUUAGGUAGGUACAGCUCUAAGCUGUUUAUUCUUGCUAGCAGCUCACUCUUUGCUUUUACAUGAUUACUAGCCACAUUCCUUUCCUAUUUAAUUUCCAUCCUUGAUAAUCUUAGAGUGACCUUCAGGGAGACCUGAUCUAAGCUUCAUCAUUUUAGCUCCAGGAAUAGCAUGAUAACCGAAAAAUAUUAUAUUAAAUGGUGUAGUGGCAGUGUGACAGCAUUUCUUGGCUUCUGCAUUAUGCAUCUUUAAGUGGCUCAUUAAGUGGUGGACACUCACUUUCUUCCCCUCUUUUACAUGGCAGCCAUUUGACCACAGGAGCCAGGAUUCUCCAGUGUUCUCCUUCAGGCAAUCUUUCUUUCUCCUACUGCUGCUUCUCGUGUCAAAGAAACCGCUCAUUCUGAUGAGCUCUGUUUAAAAUAGUAUCUCAGAGGUUUUUUGGAAGCAGACUGCACUCUCUUUCAGGAUUCGGUAUAUAUACAGUGAACCCUUAAAUUCUACUAUCAAUUUACUGAUUGGAACAGCCCAUAGUAUUCUAAGGCUAUUCUUGCAUGUUGUCAGUAGAACGUCUGCAGCUGUAUUCUUCAUACUUUGGAGAGUUUUUUACUCUGCUUUUUAAGACUGUAAUUUUUUAAGGGAAUUUAGAACAUUUCAAAUUUCAGUGACUAAAGUUAGGCACCUAAAUCCCUAAAUAGGCACCUAAAAAGUGACCUGAAUUGGAGGUGAUGAGGAUCUGCAGCUCCCAUUAAUGUUCCCCCAACUCCUGUUCACUUUACAUUUCUGAUUUUCAAAGGUGUUAAGUCUGAAAAUGUUGGCUUUGCGUGAAAUGUACUUGGGUGGCAGCCCUGGAAAAUGAAGCCUUGUAUAUAUGCACACAAGCAUAACACAGGUAAUGCAAGCUUCCUUUCACUACCCAAUGACUCCAUACUGACCAGGAGGAGCUUUCUAGAGGAAAAGAAUAGUUCAGUCUCAAGACGCAUGCUUGUUGGGAGAGUGGUGGGUGGGGGGUUUUCUAUGUGAAUAUAUGACAGACCAUUAAUUUUAUUCCUUUCAAGUAAAUCUCCAAAUAGUUGUUCAAGUGUUAAUGGCUUUCAGUAACUAGUAACUUUGCUUGAAACAAUGGCUUUGAGAGGACACCCCUGAAAAGUCCAUUUCCUAGGGUUGGUUUUACUAUAUCGAUGGUUACACAUGCAGAAUGGCUUCUGAUGGGUAUUGCACUCCUAUUAUUAUGAAUUAAUUUGAUCCUUUUAUUUUAUAACUUUUUUUAAUCUCAAGCACUCACAAAGAGAGGAUAACAACUGAAU